UUCACAGGCUGGAAAAUAUAAUUGCUCUAGCACAAGCAAUAAAUGACGCUCAGAAACGUAAAUUAGAGAAUAUUAAGAAAGAUCUGGAAAAUAUCGCUGCAAAAAGCCAGGAACAAAUACAAUCUGAUAUAAACACACAAGCACAACCAAUAAAGGACCCAGAUUUACAAAAAUUACUGGAUUUAAAUAUAACGAUGAGAAUGUGAAAAUAGCGACCAACUGAAAGUGGGAACGGCCAUCAAGCAAUAACUAUAAACCAUACAUUGCUGUCAGUACGGAGCUGUUACAGCACAUCGGAUUAUAGGGGCAACAGGUUGGACUUGUUUGUUAUAUGCUGCUAAUUAUUAGAUUUAUUGCUCCGAUGAAUGAAAAUAUUCUCUAAUGAACACUAUUCCCUGCUGGAAAGCUACAGUCUAAUAGAACUGCUCUAUAAUCACAAUAAAUCAAACCAUUACCCAGUA